rnacentral:lncRNA from 1 species
AAAUCCAGAUUUCAUUCUGCAGUCCCGGCAGUGUUUUGACGACUGCCUCACUAAAGGAAGCUAAAAGCUGUGCUGAUGCCUCCCAGACGAGCCUCGUUGGAAGCACAGAACCUUCACGGCUCGGAGCCGCUGACACCGUGACAAAGGGAGCCCUGCUCAGCUCUUCUCCAGUAAUGCUGCCAUUUCCACUGCAGACCACAGGAUAAAAGGACCGCUUCACCGUGGCCCAGGAUACCCUUUUAAGUAGGAGAGCCAGAUCAAGGAAAGAGACAGGAAAGCAGAUGAUUUUACCUGCCUUCCCUAAGUGCACUCGGGAAGAGAAGGAUCAUCUCAAAAAGGGUUAAGGAAUGAGAUCAUGGAAAUCACUUACACACGCGGUCGCGGCUUGGACUUGGCUAGUGAGGCCGGCCUGCCCACUCUGCUUCCAUUCACUCAGACACAGCUUGGGCUUUUCCUCCAAGUGCUGGUAGCAGUCAUUUAUGAGGGAGGAAAGGAGCAGAAUAAACACACUUCUCAGCUCC